rnacentral:lncRNA from 10 species
UUAUAUCUUAGCUUUCUGUGGACCAAAACCCAGAAAGGCAAGGGGCUGUGCACCCAGGCGCAUAGUUACAAUCUGACACCCAAUAGAUACUUUACGUUCCAGGAUGUAUCAAAAGCAGGUGGCAGUGGGCGCGGUGGCUCACGCCUGUAAUCUCAGCACUUUGGGAGGCCGAGGUGGGUGGAUCACUUGUCAGGAGUUCAAGACCAGCCUGGCCAACAUGGUGAAACCCCAUCUCUACUAAAAAUACAAAAAUUAGCUGGGCCUGGUGGUGGGUGCCUAUAAUCCCAGCUACUUGGGAGGCUGAGACAAGAACUGCUUGAACCCGGGAUGCAGAGGUUACGGUGAGCCGAGAUGGUCCCUUGUCCACAGCAAUUUGUUCAUAAUUGGAAAAAUGAUCCCAAUCACUCAAUAUAUCCCAUUACCUGGCUUUUUAUCAAAACUGUAGCAAAGACAGAGGCUCCAUGUUCAGCUCGACUUGGGAUUAGGAAAAUGCAAAUCU